CCCAUUAGAAGACUGAGUAAACUGACACCCUCAUUACACUGAAAUACUACACGGCUGCAGAAAGGAAUGGAGAGAUCGGAAGACACACGU